CCGUUCGGUUACCCGUAGCUUGAAAUGUAAGCCUACAAAUUAUGCCGCAAAAAAUCUGCAUUGUUAUCAAGAAAAUUAAUUUUCAGAUAAUCAUAUCCGCAUUCUCAACACAAAAGUGAGCUGGCAACAACAGCUACCAGUUACGUUCUACAGAAUCUCAGCUGAUUGGUUGUUCGAGAGGCCCCGGAUGGUGCCUGAGCAGACGACGUACGGCUAGUGUUCCCGCGUCUGCUUCUGUCCUGAUUCCGAAGCUUCAAAGUGUUCCUAAUUGCUGUACGCGGCAUUUGUUGUCAAGGAUGCUGGAUGAUAAUGUCUGCAGUGUGCCUUACUGCAAGAAUACCUCAAUGAGGAAUGACCAUGAUGUACGGAUUUUUCGAUGUACGGAGCGAAAGUGGUAACCUACGAUUGCAUGCUAUCAUUACUGAUAGCCCCAACUUUGCACUUUGUUGUGUGCUAUCAAGCGUGGGAUAAAACUGAAAACAGCGUCUCGUGUGUGUUCGAUGCACUUCUCAGACUCGUGUGCAGUACGACGUAGUGAUAUCUUCAAAGCAAGACUGAGCAUGCCACCGACAAAGAAGAAAAGAAAAAAAAGUCGCUAAAAGUUGAUGUCGUGCCGACCGUCUUUUUAUGACUCCUGUGGAGAAGAUAUAUGAAGAAUGAAACCCAUGCAUAUUCCAAGCACAUCGAUGGACAUUCGCACUUGGGACACAAUGACAGGCUAUACACAGGUGCUGGGGCUCAUACGGUGGUGUCCUACAUUCAAGAUCACCAACGAAGCUCCGGAUGUUGAAGUGCUCCCUGCUCGUGCAUGUGGUAGCAAACUGAUUUUUGCAGAAGCUGUGGAGCAACAGAGUGAAGUGGGAUCAAACUAGAGACAAAAAAAAGAAGAGGAAAUGUACUAUCUAAGCAUCUACAACCGAUUGCAUUUACCCUCCUUGCAGGGGUUCCAUAAGUGAAGAGUUAAUGCUGCUGACCCACCCGUGUGUGCCACUUUGAGACCCACCACCACAGCUAUUCAAAACGGCCCUUUUCAGGCAACCCCACACUUCUACAAGGAGAUAGCACUGCAAGAAGAACCUAAGUGCAUUCAGUUAAGCUUUGUGCCCGUCUGUUCUUUCUUGGAUACCUGCAUUUUCACUACAACAAUGAAAGAAGCUACAUUAGUGACAGCCCACUUCAGUGCUGCAGUUGUAGAAAUAUCUAUCUUGGCUUCGAUUUCCCCUAUUGGUCUCAGAAAGCAGAAAUUUCCCAACAGCAUCUAUGGUGACCUAAUAUGUCUCUAUCCCAGUAAUUGGUACAUCCUCAGACAACAUAUUACUCAAUUAGGUAUGCACACCCAAGGUAGGUAUGCAUCAAGGGAAGUAACAGGCAGCAAAGCACAUCUGAGAAACUGAAAUAUGAAUGUGCAAAAUUUCAUUUUUCCUGAUUGUCAAGGUUUGCACAAAGACGGUUUUGAGUAGGAUCUGUUAGGAGAUAUAUAUCUGUGAAAUUAAGCUGGCAUUUCUGUUUUGUUGUUUACACACCGACCAUUGCAGCUGCACUGUUUUAAUUUGUCCUCCAUGGCUUCGACAAAAUCAUUCCUGCACAGUUUCACAAGGCUGAAGAUUUUCAGAACUCCUUAUUGUGUAGAUGCUGCGCGCGUACAAUACAGUAAUCCCUCGUUACAACGAAGUCGCUUUAUUCGAAUUAUCGCUUUAUUCGAAGUUCCCCUGUGUCCCGUAUAAAACGCAUGCAGUUUUAACUGGAUUAUUCGAAGCAUACUGUCGCCCGACUCCGCAUUUUACGAAGCGCAAGCCGGCCCGUAUGCCCGCAGCUCCCGCACGAACUUAGUCGCGGACUCGCGGAGCGGUGGAGACGCUGGGCAGCGUUCUCUGCAAGCGUUCUUUCCCUCGUAGAAAAGAGGCGAAAGUUUCAUACCCUCUCUCCUUUUCUGCACGGAAAGGGUAGCACGCACGUUCCACUUCGCUCGAUCGGCGUCUUGUUCUCCGCGCAGUUCCCACGUUUUCCAAUGACUCCACCGAAGAUCCUACGGAAGUGUAUUACGCUCAAGCAAUAAGUCGCGCUAAUUAGAGAAGUUGAAAAAGCUACUAUGCCUUUCGUGGUAGAAGCUAGGGGCAGCUAAGAUCGCAAAUUGCAUUGCGCACGCUGGAUUUUCCAGGGGUCGUAUGCACGACGAACAAGAGCACGUCGCAGACAGAGGACUGCGACGAUCUCUACAGGCGAGUGCAUGACGAGUGCAUGAGCUCGUCAGACAGGAGGCGGACGACGACUUCUCUUCUUUUGCACUUGAAGAUGCGGAUGUCCCCGUCGUCUGUCCUACCACGGACAAGGAUAUUGUGGACACUGUCAUAGGACGCCGAUGCGAAAGUGACGAUAGCUCGGAUGAUGAGCCCCGGGAAGUUCCAACGACGGCUGAGACAUGGGACAUGCUCCGUUUGAUCCACAAUAAAAUUGAGUGCGGCGGUGGUGACGACGGCCUCCUGCAGUGCGUGCACAGACUGGAGCAGGCCCUCCUGGCGCCCAACAAGGCCGCGCGUCAGACGCAGCUCACCUCUUUUUUGUAAUGGUAUAAAUAAUAAAUGGUAAUGGUAUAAAUAAAAGUGCUACCAAGCUGAUAACUUCCCAACGUAUGUGUGGUUUGGGAUACCGUUGUUUGCGCGCAGUUCGGGCACCACUGCAGCAUCCCGACGACUUCGUUGUAACGAGGGAUUACUGUAUUUACAUAACAUAACAUAACACUUUAUAUAAUGGUUGAAAUACUAGCAGAAAAUUUGGACUGUCGUGUAGAUUACCCUUAAUUCAAGGGAAUACGUACCACUUGGAAUAAAUUUGAACGAGACGUGUCA